rnacentral:rRNA from 1 species
AGAGUUUGAUCCUGGCUCAGGACGAACGCUGGCGGCGUGCCUAAUACAUGCAAGUUGUACGAGAACAUAUUCUUCGGAAUAUUAGUAAAGUGGCGAACGGGUGAGUAACACGUAAGUAACCUACCCUAGAGUUGGGGAUAACCCUGCUAACGUGGGGCUAAUACCGAAUAAUGCAGCGAGUCCACAUGGACAUGUUGUUAAAGGUGGGGCUCUUUUUAAGACCUACCGCUUUAGGAUGGACUUGCGGUCCAUUAGCUUGUUGGUGAGGUAACGGCUCACCAAGGCUGCGAUGGAUAGCCGGCCUGAGAGGGUGUACGGCCACACUGGGACUGAGAUACGGCCCAGACUCCUACGGGAGGCAGCAGUAAGGAAUAUUGCGCAAUGGCCUAACGGCUGACGCAGCAACGCCGCGUGACUGAUGAAGCUCUUCGGAGUGUAAAGGUCUGUUAGGAGGGAAGAAUACGAUCGCAGAGAAUAUGUGCGGUCUAUGACAUUACCUCCAGAGAAAGCUCCGGCUAACUCCGUGCCAGCAGCCGCGGUAAUACGGAGGGAGCAAGCGUUGUCCGGAAUCACUGGGCGUAAAGGGCAUGUAGGCGGAUCGUUAAGUCAGAAGUGAAAUCUACCCGCUUAACGGGUAACCUGCUUUUGAAACUGACGGUCUUGAGUUCUGGAGAGGUGAGCGGAAUUCAAGGUGUAGCGGUGAAAUGUGUAGAUAUCUGGAAGAACACCGGUGGCGAAGGCGGCUCACUGGCCAGCAACUGACGCUGAAAUGCGAAAGCGUGGGGAGCGAACAGGAUUAGAUACCCUGGUAGUCCACGCCCUAAACGAUGGAUACUAGGUGUUGGAGGAGUCGACCCCUUCAGUGCCGCAGCUAACGCAUUAAGUAUCCCGCCUGGGGAGUACGAUCGCAAGGUUGAAACUCAAAGGAAUUGACGGGGGCCCGCACAAGCGGUGGAGUAUGUGGUUUAAUUCGAUGCAACGCGAAGAACCUUACCGGGGUUUGAAAUGCAGUGGAAAGUUCCGGGAAACCGGGACCCCCUUCGGGCCGCUGUACAGGUGCUGCAUGGCUGUCGUCAGCUCGUGUCGUGAGAUGUUGGGUUAAGUCCCGCAACGAGCGCAACCCCUGUCCUUAGUUGCCAUCAGGUCAUGCUGGGAACUCUAAGGAGACUGCCCUGAUUAACGGGGAGGAAGGUGGGGAUGACGUCAAGUCCUCAUGGCCUUUAUAUCCCGGGCUACACACGUACUACAAUGGCCGGUACAACGGGCAGCAAUACCGUGAGGUGGAGCAAAUCCCUUAAAACCGGUCUCAGUUCAGAUUGAAGUCUGCAACUCGACUCCAUGAAGGCGGAAUCGCUAGUAAUCGCGGAUCAGCAUGCCGCGGUGAAUACGUUCCCGGGCCUUGUACACACCGCCCGUCACGCCAUGGAAGUCGGUAGUACCCGAAGUCGCUGGUCCAAUCCCGCUUGCGGGAAGGAAGGCGCCGAAGGUAAGAUCGAUGACUGGGGCGAAGUCGGAACAAGGUA